CACCUGUUCUGUUUCCUUGUUGGAGUGGAGUCUUCUUCAUCUCUCUGGACUGGUUAAAUAAACUUGAAGCUGGACUCGUUCCAGUGAGUAGCUCACCUGUGUCAGAGUCUCUAGGGUCCAGGUUGGAGUGGAGUCUUCUUCUGAACUCUGUGGACUGGUUAAAUAAACUGUGAAGGCAGAAAGUGUGUGUGAGCUGAUGUGAAUCCAGCAGAAUGGAUCAGUGUGAGGACAGAGAGGAGGGAGUCCCUCCCUCUAAAACCACUCUGAGUGGAAAACAGCAUUUUAAACAACAACAUUUAUCUGAGAAAAGGUAAGAUAAUGUUACAAGAAGUACAGAAGUCAGUGAGCGCCCCCUUGUGUUCAGUCAGGUUUUCAGCUGGUCUCAGUGGUCCAGUUGGUCCACAGUGAUCUGCUCUUUCUAGUUUUUAUAGCAGCUUCAGUAACUGUGAGGUAAUGUUUUUCAU